CAGUAACAAACAAGAUUUCAACACUGAAUGUUGUGAUGUGACUGUAACAGUCUUAUAAUUGAAACUUAAGAAUGAUACAACUUUGUUCUAAAACAGGUACUCCUGAUAACCAGUGAGUGGACUCCAACAAUCACUCCACAAUCCUUCCCAAUGAGUUUUACAACUAUUUAUAAUGUGUAGAGUAAAACCUGCUUUCUCUAUUUUG
rnacentral:lncRNA from 1 species